UACGUAGGGGGCUAGCGUUGUCCGGAAUCAUUGGGCGUAAAGAGCGCGUAGGCGGCCAGAUAAGUCCGGUGUGAAAGUCACAGGCUCAACCUGUGAAUGCCGCUGGAAACUGUCUGGCUAGAGUCCGGAAGGGGCGAGUGGAAUUCCUGGUGUAGCGGUGAAAUGCGCAGAUAUCAGGAGGAACACCGAUGGCGAAGGCAGGUCUCUGGGCCAUAACUGACGCUGAGAAGCGAAAGCAUGGGGAGCGAACAGG
rnacentral:rRNA from 1 species